GACGAACCGUGCGAACGUUGUUCGGAAUCACUGGGCUUAAAGGGCGCGUAGGCGGGCCGCCAGGUCGGGGGUGAAAUGCCGCAGCUUAACUGUGGAAGUGCCCCCGAUACCGGCGGCCUCGAGGGGGGUAGGGGCGUGUGGAACUUCCGGUGGAGCGGUGAAAUGCGUAGAUAUCGGAAGGAACGCCGGUGGCGAAAGCGACACGCUGGACCCUCACUGACGCUGAGGCGCGAAAGCCAGGGGAGCAAACGGG
rnacentral:rRNA from 1 species